rnacentral:rRNA from 1 species
CAGCAGCGCGGUAAUACGUAGGUGGCAAGCGUUGUCCGGAAUUAUUGGGCGUAAAGGGCUCGCAGGCGGUUUCUUAAGUCUGAUGUGAAAGCCCCCGGCUCAACCGGGGAGGGUCAUUGGAAACUGGGAAACUUGAGUGCAGAAGAGGAGAGUGGAAUUCCACGUGUAGCGGUGAAAUGCGUAGAGAUGUGGAGGAACACCAGUGGCGAAGGCGACUCUCUGGUCUGUAACUGACGCUGAGGAGCGAAAGCGUGGGGAGCGAACAGGAUUAGAUACCCGAGUAGUCCCUGUCUCUUAUACC